AUGGAUUCCGACAAGGUGGGUGUGGGUGGUGUAGCACGCUCUAACACAACCUUGUUGGGUGCUUGGAGUAAACCCCAUAUUGGGGUCACGGAUCCUUUUAUCGGUGAGACGCUCGCGCUUCGAGAUGGAGUUAUUUUUGCAAAUCUACGGGGUUUGUCACAUGUGAUAAUGGAAACGGAUUGCCUGGAGAUUGUUAAUCUCUGGAACACUCACCACAACAGCCUCUCUGUGGUGGCACCUCUACUUGUAGAAAUUGGAGAGCUAGCUGCUACUUUUUCUUCUUUUGUUAUUCAACAUGUAAUGCGAGCAGCCAAUGUACCGGCCCACCUUUGUGCGAAACAUGCAUGUACACUGGUGGUCACCGAGAGUUGGACUGACUCGAGACCCUCUUUCCUGCUCACCAGCCUUUUGGCUGAUGAUGCCAGGAGCUCGUUCGUUGAAUAA
rnacentral:rRNA from 1 species